rnacentral:lncRNA from 1 species
UAUGGGUCUGUCUAUGGGUCUCAGUGGGUCUCUAUGGGUCUCAGUGGGUCUCUAUGGGUCUCUAUGGGUUUCAGUGGGUCUGUGUGGGUCUCUAUGGGUCUCUAUGGGUCUCAGUGGGUCUGUGUGGGUCUCAGUGGGUCUCAGUGGGUCUCAGUGGGUCUCUAUGGGUCUCAGUGGGUCUCAGUGGGUCUCUAUGGGUCUCAGUGGGUCUCUAUGGGUCUCAGUGGGUCUCUAUGGGUCUGCCUAUGGGUCUGUGUGGGUCUGUGUGUGGGUCGCAGCCGCUCUAAGGACGUGGUGGAGCCGCUGGUGCGGCCGCAGUGGGGCAGUGUGUCGCUAUGGGUCUCAGUGGGUCUGUGUGGGUCUCAGUGGGUCUGUGUGGGUCUGUGUGGUUCUCUAUGGGUCUGUGUGGGUCUGUGUGGGUCUGUGUGGGUCUCUAUGGGUCUCAGUGGGUCUCAGUGGGUCUCUAUGGGUCUGUCUAUGGGUCUCUGUGGGUCUGUGUGGGUCUCAGUGGGUCUCAGUGGGUCUGUGUGGGUCUCGGUGGGUCUCUAUGGGUCUGUGUGGGUCUCUAUGGGUCUCAGUGCUUCUCUAUGGGUCUGUGUGGGUCUCUAUGGGUCUCAGUGGGUCUCUAUGGGUCUCAGUGGGUCUCUAUGGGUCUCAGUGGGUCUGUGUGGGUCUCAGUGGGUCUCAGUGGGUCAGUGUGGGUCUGUCUAUGGGUCGCAGCCGCUCUAAGGACGUGGUGGAGCCGCUGGUGCGGCCGCAGUGGUUCGUGCGCUGCUCGGAGCUGGCGCGUGGGGCCAGCGCCGCCGUGCGCCGUGGGGAGCUGAGACUCAGA